CAAAGCAAUAUAUACAACAACAAAAAAAUCAAGGUUUUAAAAGUCAUGUGGAAACCUGUAGCGUUAUUGCCAGAAAACUAUCGAGAACCAUCUGACUUUGAAAUGAAAUCGUCAUAAAUCAAUCAUUUCUAUUUAUUGGCCAUUUCCAUUUAUUGGUCACAAUAUACAGCGAGAAAGUGAUGAGGAUUCAUUUGAGGAUAAUAUCAACCAAAGAAGUAAUAAUAAUUUACAAGAAAGUGACAAAAAAAUUGGAACACUACUGCAG